UUUGAUAGCCGUAAAUGAAGACCUCGAUAAGUUCUUCGGGAGAUUCCAGGUUCUUCAGCUCAAACAUGGCCUGGCUCACCUGCUCGAUGUGAGACAUUCGAGAUCCCUGUGGGCCUGUCCAGGGAAAGGCAAUGAGCAUAGUUCCAAGACCCGGAGCUUUGGGCCUUGGCAGCGAGGUCAAGAGUAGCUACUCACCAAACAGAUAUUUCAGCACCAGCGACUGGACCUGGAAUACUUCUGGAUCUGUCAGGUCUUCAGGAACUUUCACCCACGGGGGGAUGUCUUUACGGGUCACGAGGGUCUUCAGGAACUUUCACCCACGGGGGGAUGUCUUUACGGGUCACGAGGGUUACCAUCAUCCUACCAAGGAACCAGACUUCAGGGAAGACGAGAUCAAGCUUAUCCACGAUGGC
rnacentral:lncRNA from 1 species